AGAGAGGGUGCCGGGAAGCCUGGAAAGGGGAGGGGCCCAGACUCAGGGGUCACCUGGCCUAGAGUCAGAAAUUCUUUUCCACAACAGCAAGAGAGGGUUGGGUGAGAUAAAAGGAGGGACUUCCUAGACUGGAGAAGGUGCUGUGGAAGUGAAGGUUCCUAUUUGGCAGGACCCCAGAGUACCCAGGCCCAAACUCAUUCCGGAUAUGGAGAAAGUUGGGCCUGAGUUGGGGGGGACAGGAGAGAGAGCGUGGGGCGGGCCGCCUCGGGGGCACAUGACGGCGGCGCCCGCCCCGCCCCGCGCCCGCCCCCUGCCCGGCCGUGGGGGGAGGAGACGCGGAGGUUUUAAAGGCGAUCUGGGCCGGCCGGCGGGGUGGGGCGCGGCCGGCGUCGUCUCGCCCGCGCGGAGCCCGGCUCCCCUCCCCCGCGGGGAAGUGGGGUCCGGCCCGGGAGAGACUCGCGGGGCGCGGGCGGCAGCAACUUUCCCGCUCGGGCCGGGGACGAGAGAGGGGCCGCGACCGGCCGGCCCCGGAGGCAGGAGCUGGAUCCCACUGCGGGCGACAGCAGGUAGACUUGCGGGGGCCUGGCGGCCUGACCCCGGCGUGGAGCAGCCGAGGCCACAGCCCUUGGUCCUCACUAGAGGCCUGAUGUCUUGUGCUGGCCCCAGACUGACCUCUAGAUUUGCAGGCCACCGAACCCCUGGGCUGUGCGUGACCUUCCCUCCUGGCCAGGCCCCACUGGCCAUCUGAGUGUCUAGGAAGUGCCCUGGCUCCCUGUACCUGCCCCCUUCCCAGCCUCCAGCAGCUGCCCGCCCCUGGCAGGGUGGCCCGAGAAGGUAAGUGUAAGGGCUGGAGGACCCUGGCACCGGGCUGUCCCCGCCAGCCCAGCCCAAAGCAGGAGCAACCCGACAGGUGCGCAGGCUUCCAGGCGAGGUGAUGCGGGCUCGCCCGGGCCGCUCACCCACGCACUGUGCCUGGGCCAGCCUGGGCACAUGUGUUCACACCACCACAGAGCUGAGAAGGGAGGAGCACGGAGGCCCGAGCCCUGGGGAGCAUUAUGGCUCUCUGUCUUUGUCCGGGUGGGGGACCCUGAGAGCAUCCUUAAGACCCCCCAACUGGUCAGGCCUUGCUUGAGGACUUUCCAGGGGGCCUUAAAAUAGCUGUGGGCCCAGCCCAGGGCUGGCACGCGGCGCAUAUGCGUGACAGGGCGUGUCCAGGGGGUCGGGCCUGUCUGCGCUGGCCCGGCCUCUGAGUUUGGCAGAUUCUUGCUUGCUGGAGAGAGACAGCCAAGGCUGGUGCCCCACGAGGCACCCCCAUGCCAUGGCCACCCUGUGCCUGUUGCAAGUGGAGGCCAGAUGUUUCCAGCUAGCCCCAGCCUUCUGCACUUCCCUGCAAACAGGCCUGUGUGGGAACGGGAGGGUCUCUCUGGGGCAUAGGCUGAGUCAGAACAGUGUGUGCCCAGGUUGGCUUGGAACUCGCUGCAAUUCUCCUGCCUCAGCUUUCUGGGAUGCAGCACUAGCACCGUGCCUACCCUGUUCCUGUUCCAAUAGCAGCUUCUAGUUGUUUUGCUUUUUGAGAUGGAGUCCCAGGCUGGCCUCAAACUUCGGAAGCUCCUGUCGCCACAGCCAGAGUGUUGGGAUCUCAGGCCUGCAUCACUCCUGGCCUGCAAAGUGCUGGGGGUUGAACCCAGGGUCUGUGCAAGCCAGGAACCACUCUACUGUCUGAGCUACAUCUCCAUCCCUUUUAACAGAUGGAAACAGGGUUUCUUGUAUCCUUGGCUGGCAUCACACUUGCCACAAAACCAACAGUGGUCUUGAACUCCCCACUCCCCAGCCUGCAUCUCUCAAGUAUGAGAUGGACGUUCUUUUCUUUAUGGAGGAAGUGUAGACAGCGCUGAGAAUGUCUCUGCCUCAGUUUUUCCAUCUGUAAAUGGGAACAUUAGGAUAAGCGGUGUAACAGCGCACACCUUGCCCCUCCUAGUCUCCUGUAUGGUGCUCUGGUCUCUUCAUCCCUGAAUAUCCUGAGUGGACAUGGAUGUGUGUCUUCAUAGCUGGCCAUGGGGAAGAACUAAGGGUGGUGGCGUGGGCGUGAGAAUUCUUGGGGAGGGAAGGACAACGCCAUGCCGGGCAUGGCUGAGUCACACUCUAGCGGCGCCUUGCCUCAGGCUGCUGGAGCUGGCGCCACCCUGGGUGUGGCUACUGAGCUGUGGCCCCGGGCAGAGCAGGGUUGGGUGGCCAGGAUGGGCACAGGGGCUGGGGGAACAAAUUUGAGAUACCCCUUGUUACCUCCCUUUUGUCUUUAGAAUUGCCUUCCAGGACUGGGUGUCAUCCAGCCACAAGUACACUUUCAGGGCUCAGGAACCGUAAGCCUUGGGCCUGGGAAUGAUAAUUAUUAACCUUAUUUAACAAAAGAACUUUUUUGAGGCAUGGCCCCAUGUAGUCAGUCUAUGCUGGCAUGGAACUGGAUAAGUAGUCAAGGCUGGCCUUGAACCCUGGUCCUUCUGCCUCCACCUCUUGAGUGCUAGGCUUACCUGUGUGCAACACUAUGCAGGAUUUGUGCUUAGGAUGGAAUCCACUGACCCUGUGCUUCCUGUAAAGUAGGCAAGCACUCCACCCCAGUCUGUUUUGGGGUUUGAGACAGUCAUAUUUCAUAGCCUACAAUGGUCUUGAACACAUUGCAAUCCUCCUGCUUCAGCCUUCUGAAUGGUGGAAUGACAGACAUGCCUCACGGUGCCUGGCUAGUUCCUGGAAGUUUUGGAGUGUUAAGGGAGUGAGCCAGAGCCUUCCAGUUGAGUGUUGGAGGUCCCUGCUUCCAUCUCCUGUCCCAGGCUAGGCCAGGGCCUGGGAUGAACUUCACUCUGUGGACUCCAAUUGGCUUUAGGGGAACGCAAGAAUUGGGGAUGUGACUCAGUGGUAGAGCACUAGCCCAGCGCGUGCCAGGCACUGGGUCCGUCUCCAGCACCGCAAAAGGAAUUUUAAGAAAUGGAGUAGGGGAUUUGGUUGGACUGUGUGGCUGGCGGGCAGCGAGGGUGGGACGUGGCUGUCUUUCCCUAUUUAUACCAAGUGAUUCAGCACUCCCUCACCCCUUCCUGCGCCCCCUCCACUCCCAGGUCGGCACCGGGCCCACCCACUUGCUCAUGCCCUGCCCCCAAACCGAGCGGGUUGUCUGUCCCUGCGUGGGGACCGGCGUGGAGGGCAGGCAUCUGCGCCGCAGGUCGGGCUGGCCCGGGCCCAGCCGCCAAGCUCCUGGGAAGAGUCUGGGCCAUUAGCGAGCGCUGUGUGUACAGACACCGGCUGGGGUGCCACAGCCCAAGACUCGCCCUGUUCCCCGUGGUCUCCAGCGCCUGACCUCUGCCCCUUUGGGUCCCCUCUUCUUAUGAGGCAGAGAGGCACAAUUUUUGGUACAGGUUGUCCCAGCUCCUGGACACCUGCGUGGUAAUGUCCCUUCACACCAGACACAGACCUCUGGUGUGUGAGGAUGGGAGUGGCCUUGGCCGCAGCCUUGGGCUCUUUGUAGGGGAAACCCCACAGGAAACCAGCCUGGCCAAAUGGCCGCCCUUCCCGUUCUAGUCCCCGGGACGAAUAUGCUGUCUCACUUCCGGAGGUGACUGGGGAGGCUGGCCAGCCUGAGGCACUGGGCUGCCCCCAGACCCCAAAGGGACAGAGCUGGGCUGGGACUUGGUGGAAAGGAGGGUAGUCAGCGUGCAUUCAUGUGCGGUGGUGAUGGAGGUAGGGGUGUGUGUGUGUGUGUGUGUGUGUGUGUGUGUGUGUGUGUGUGUGAGUGUGUGUGUGUGUUCAGGGAGACACAGCAGAACAUCUCAUCUCUCAGUGUGUGUGUGUGUGUGUGUGUGUGUGUGUGUGUGUGUGUGUUCAGGGAGACACAGCAGAACAUCUCUCAAUCCCUAUUCCUCAGAGAGAGGUAAUGCCAGAUCUAUAUUACGAGCCAUUGUCCUGCUUGUCGUUGAUAUGACAGAAUCCUGUCCUGAUGUCAUCCAAGGACUCCCAAUUACUUAGGAAGCGGAGAUGUUCUCUCUUUUUUGAGAUGAAUUUGACUUUUAUUUUUGGGUAUGUGCAUGUAUGUGUAGGUGUCCACAGAGCCAGAAGAGGGUGCCAGAUCCCCUGGAGUUGGAACCACAGGUAGUCCUGAGCUGGGGAACCAAACUCCGGUUCUCUGAAAGAGCAAUAUGCGAUCUAAACCACCGAGCCAUCUUUUCAGCCCUAAGAUUUCGUUUUGAGAGUCUCAUGUAUCCCAGGCUGGCCUCCACCUUGCUCCGUAGCCAAGGAUGACCUUGAAUUUCUAAUCCCCAGUCUCCACCUCCUGAAUGCUGAGAUUACAUGUUUUUACCAUAACAUUUCAUUGUUAAGGUGCUGGUGAUGGAGCCAGGACUGGUAUGCUGGGCCAGCAAGUUGCCAUUGAGCCUCACCCCAGUUGCUUUUUUUUUUUCUUUAAUUAAAAAUUAUUUAGCCAGGUGGUAGUGAUGUAUACCUUUAAUCCUAGAAUUUGGGAGGCAAAGGCUCUCUGUGAGUUUGAGGCCAGCCCUGUUCUAUAGAGCAAGUUCCAGGACAUCCAGGGCUGUUACACAGAAAAACUCUGUCUCAAAAAAACAAAAAUAGAUAUUUAUUUUAUGUGUGUGUUUUGUCUACAUGUGUGUAUGGUGACUGCAGAGUCCAGAAGGUGUCAGAUUCCCUAGAACUGGAGUUACAAACAGUUGCCAGCCACUAUGUGGAUGCUGGGAACCGAACCUGGAACCCCUGAAAGAGUAGCCAGUGCUUUUAACCACUGAGCCAUUUCUCUAGCUCCUUUCUUUUGAAAUACAGUCUCACUUGGUAGCCCAGGCUGACCUCUAGGUUGAGUUUCUCUAUCCCUCUUGGAUGCAGGGAUUUCAAGUCCAUGCCAUUAUACCAGGGUCUAAAAUAAUUUAUUAUUGCUAUUUUGCAGAUAAAAAGACUUGUCCCAGAGAGGCUGUGUUCUUUGACUAUGUCAACCAGCAAAGAAGCUGCACAGCUCACUGGCAGGCCCAAAGCUCCAGAAUUGAAUUCACCCAGCCAUAGGCCUUUCCCCGACUCUUUUUCCUUUUGAGAGAAAGGGUCUCACUCUGUAGACGAAGCUGGCCUCAAAGUCCCGUAGAUCUUCCUGCCUCUGCCUCCUGAUCAGUGUGUGCUGGGAUCAGUGUGUGCUACUGUAGGCUUUUAUGACACAUGAGCUGUCUGAAAAUCUUACCCUCCUCCGUGCGUGCGUGUGUACAGAGUGUAACCUCAAGUGCAGUUUAUCAGGAAUGUGUGUGCCUGGUGUCCUAGGUCAAAGAGAUUUCUUGGAACUGGAGUUACAGAUGGUUGUGAGCCACUGUGUGGAUGCAAGGAACUGAACUCAGGUCCUCUGCAAGAACAAGUGCUACUAGGCAUGGUGGCACACGCCUUUAAUCCCAGCACUCUUGAGGCAGAGGCAGGUGAAUCUCUGUGAGUUUGAGGCCAGCCUGGUCUACAGAGUGAGUUCCAGGACAGCCAGGGCUACUCAGAGAAACCCUGUAUGUGUGUGUGGGGGGGGAGGUGUGGGGCAACAAGCUCUCUUUACCACUAAAGCCAUCUCCCAGCCCUUCCCUUGUUCUCAGACAGGGUAUCUCACUGGGACCUGGAGCUGGACCAAUAGGUGUGGCUGGUGCUUGUGAACCCUAGGGGGUCUUUUUGGCUCUACCUCCAAAGACCAGAAUUACAAGUGUGAGCUUCCAUGCCUGGGGACAAGGCGGGGCUUUGUGCUUGCAUGGCAACCACUUUAUUGACUGACCUAUCACCUCAGACCCUGAAUUUUUUUAAAACACAGUUGUCUGGUCUGUGUGUGGGUUUGUGCAUGUCAGUGCAGUGCCCUCGGAGACUAGAAGAGGGAGUGAAAUCCCCUGAAGCUGGAGUUACAGGCCAUUGUGAGCCACCUGAUGUGGGUGCUAGGAACUGAUCUCAGGUCCUCUGCAAUAGCAGCUAGUGCUCCUAACCACUGAGUCAUCUCUCCAUGCUUUAUUUGAGAGACAGUCUCACUAUGUAGCUCUGGCUGGUCUAAAACUCCCUACUCAAGGUUGGCCUUGAACAACUCAGAGAGAUCUGAUUACCUUUGCCUUUCAAGUGCUGGAACUAAAGGUGCAUACCACCAUUCCUGACAAUUUAUUUUUAUUGUAUGAGUGUUUGCCUGCAUGUAUGCAUGUGCACCAUAUGUGUGCCUGGAACCCACAGAGGACAGAAGAGAGCAUAUAUGUCUCUAACUCUUGGAACGGAGUUAUAGACAGCUGUGAUUACCAGGUGGGUUCUGGGAAGGGAAUGUAGGUCCUCUGCUAGAACAACUGCUCUUAACUCCUGAGCCAUCUCUCCAAUCCUGAAUUUUUUACAUUUGAGUGUGUGUGGUCACAAGUGCAGAGAGAUUCGAGGAUGAUUUGCAAGGGGUCAGUAUGUUUUUCUACUAUGUGUUUCUUGGAGUUUGAGCUCAUGGCAUUGGGCUUGAUGGAGAGUAUGUUUACUAGCUGGACCAUCUUGCUGGCCCUGAAACUUUUAAUUGGCAUGUAGGAGCUAUUCUACAUUGGAUGCUGAGUAUCAAAUAGCUUCUUCUCUGUAAAUUUAUACUGACCUACCUGGUAGAGGGUCUUUGUUUGUUUUAAGACUAGGGUCUCAGACUGUAGCCUAGUUUGGCCUAAAACUCAUUAUGUAGCUUAAGCAGGCCUUUGAUUCUUGACAACUCUCCCGCCUCAGUCUCCCCAAUGCUGAGAUAAACUUGAGCCACCAACCACAAUUAUUCUUGGUCUACUUUACAGAUGGGGAAACUGAGGCUUGGAAGGCCUCUGGGAAACUUGAGGAGCAGAUGCUUAAACUUUGCUGAGUUAUUGGGGUAGAGAGGCCUGCUUCUCCCAGCAUGGGUGCUGAGUUGGUGGGGCUGGGGUGUGUCUGAGCAGGCUGUGGAGGAGACAGCUAUGGAGGCAGGAGGAGGAGGUACUGGAGUUCCCUCUGCCUUUCAGGCUUCUAGGAAGUGGCGCCAGCUGGGGUGAGGUCACUUCCUCCCUCAACCACCCACCUCCCUCAGCUUCCUCUCUCCUUGGCCCCAUUUGGCCUGCUUUGGGCUCAGGGCUGUGGGUGGAGAGAGAAACAGACUGAGUGGAAAGCGCUGAGGGGGCUUUGUGUCCUGUCUGGCCUGUAGGGCUUCCUGGGCACCUCCGACUUUGUAGGGCUGGGGCUAGAGGCACUCCUGGGAGCCCAGCAUCUAGCUGGCUCACUCAGUUCUCCCUAGGAUGCUCCUCUGUGGGGAGGCUUCUGUCCUGGAAGCAGAUGGAGGGCUGGGGUGUAGCUCUGUCCCUAGCACCAUGUAAACUGAGGGUGUUGAGGUGAGCCUGUAAUUCUAGACUCCAGAGGUGGAGGCAGGGGAAUCACCAGUUCAGAAACUGCCUCAGCCAUGGGAGACCCUGCCAUGUAAUAAGAAAUGAUAAGCCAGCAAGCAGGAAUAUUCCCUAUCUCAUUCUCUCUCCUCUCUUUUUCUCCAUAGGUGCUACACUCCGAUCCUGCUUGCUGUCCCCUCACUGUGCCUUGGCCGGCUGGGGUUCCUGGGGAUGGGAUUUGAUGCCAGUCACAAAUCACAUUGCCAGGGAUUUCCAACUGACCUUGUG
rnacentral:lncRNA from 1 species